rnacentral:rRNA from 1 species
GACGAACGCUGGCGGCGUGCUUAACACAUGCAAGUCGAGCGGAAAGGCCUCCUUCGGGGGGUACUCGAGCGGCGAACGGGUGAGUAACACGUGAGUGAUCUGCCCUCCACUUUGGGAUAACUGCCUGAAAGGGUGGCUAAUACCGGAUAUGACCAGCUGCUGCAUGGUGGUUGGUGGAAAGGGUUUCUGGUGGGGGAUGUGCUCGCGGCCUAUCAGCUUGUUGGUGGGGUAAUGGCCUACCAAGGCUUUGACGGGUAGCCGGCCUGAGAGGGUGACCGGCCACACUGGGACUGAGACACGGCCCAGACUCCUACGGGAGGCAGCAGUGGGGAAUAUUGGACAAUGGGCGGAAGCCUGAUCCAGCAACGCCGCGUGAGGGAUGACGGCCUUCGGGUUGUAAACCUCUUUCAGCACAGACGAAGCUGUCCUCACGUGUGGGGGUGGUGACGGUAUGUGCAGAAGAAGCACCGGCCAACUACGUGCCAGCCGCCGCAGUAAAAC